GUCACGAUAGCUCAAGUGGUAGAGCAGCGGCGUUUCUAGCCGAAGGUCGUGGGUUCGAAUCCCGCUUGUGACA
rnacentral:tRNA from 1 species